rnacentral:rRNA from 1 species
UACGUAGGGUGCAAGCGUUAUCCGGAUUCACUGGGUUUAAAGGGUGUGUAGGCGGGUGUUUAAGUCAGUGGUGAAAUCUCCAGGCUCAACCUGGAAACUGCCAUUGAUACUAUUCAUCUUGAAUUCUGUUGAGGUGGGCGGAAUAUAUCAUGUAGCGGUGAAAUGCUUAGAUAUGAUAUAGAACACCGAUUGCGAAGGCAGCUCACUAAGCAGCGAUUGACGCUGAGGCACGAAAGCGUGGGGAUCAAAC